UACGGGGGGGGCAAGCGUUGUUCGGAAUUACUGGGCGUAAAGGGCUGGUAGGCGGCCAACUAAGUCGGAUGUGAAAUCCCCAGGCUUAACCUGGGAACUGCAUCCGAUACUGGUCGGCUUGAAUCCGGGAGAGGGAUGCAGAAUUCCAGGUGUAGCGGUGAAAUGCGUAGAUAUCUGGAGGAACACCGGUGGCGAAGGCGGCAUCCUGGACCGGCAUUGACGCUGAGGCGCGAAAGCCAGGGGAGCAAACGGG
rnacentral:rRNA from 1 species